ACAUUCCAUGAGAACAAUUCAGACACCCGGAGUGCAGCCGUUUUCCAUGAGUGACUUGUCAGUCUUGUAUGGUCAGUCAGUGGUCUCACCACAGCCAUCAGCUUCCAUCUAAAAUGUAGUGAGCUGGGGUUGCUGGGAGAUGUAGUGCAUUCAAUAGUCAGGAGACGGCUCUUCUGACACUAACAGCUUCAGAUACGAAUUCAACCCGCUUCCCCUUUACUUUUGCUUUCUCUUCUCUUCUGAGAUCCAGCAAGAAUCUCCAGAAACACUUCUAGAAGAGUGCAGGUGGGAUCCUGAUGAGGAGCAGAAAGAACCUCUCACCCUUCUCUAACUUCUCCAGCUUCCUGUCCUGGCCAGUCAACAAGAAUGAAGCCGUCACUAUGGGCAACAGUGCCCUUGGUCUCCCUGAGGCCCCUCAGCCGACCGUCUUCUUCACGAGGGGGAAAAGGAGAGCUGUCAGUGUGUAAAGUAAUGUAGGGAUAUUUAAGUGAUGAGCAGAUGGCACCGUAUAAAGUCCCACCUAAAGGACAAAGUCAACCACACAAGGCCCAGAGCCAGAUGAAGGGAGAUGACAUCCAGAUUGUAGAUAUUCCUGGGAGACUGGCCAAGGCUUCCAGUUGCGCCUAUAAAGUUUUGGAAAGCUGUCAGGCGAGACACACGAGGUGAAAAACACUCAAGCACACAGCAGCAGGUCCUGCUAAGGGGUGACGGAGGGGAGCCAUCUUUGCCAGGGUCCUUCUAACAGGAGGUAAGUUCAUUAGAGUUCCUGAGCUGAUGGUUGAGAUGCAUCAGGUUAUUUUUAAAAGAGAUGGAACAACUUGAUGAAAGGUGUUAGCUAACAGCCAGGAGGAUCAUGGGAGAUUGUAAUGCUACACAGAUCAGCAAAAAACACUGACGGGUGAAGAUAAAAAGAUUGAAUUAGAUGUUUUCUCCCAGCAAGAUGUCAUGGGUGGAAUGUGCGGAGCAGAGAGGGAAGAGAUUUAAAGCUGAACGCCAUUGUUUCAAGAACCCCAACUGUGCUCAUUUUCACACUCAGUCCAUCCAAGUUAUGUAAUUGUUUUUGACUUAAACAAGUCAACUGGAAGGCAGAAAACCUCACACCAUGUGAUGCUUAUGAAAAAAUGAAUGUUUUCACACUGUCAAAGACUCUUUUACAUUUCAGUCAUCUUUAUGUUAAAGCAGGUUGAGUAGCUCACCUCCAUAAAAAAAAGUGUUUUAGUUCUUGACACUCAGGAAAAUGACAGUUUAGUCUGUUUAUUACUUCAGGCAGAGUCAUUUUGGCGUUAGACAUCUCAGCAGCUACAUGUACUAGACCGAGGGACCAAACUUUGGCAAAGAGGGUCAGAUUUGGUGAAUUUUUCCAUUCAAUUUUAUUUAUAUAGCCAAUUAUAUCACAAAACAGUUCCCUCAUUGGGCUUCAUGCUGAAGAAGCAGAAGGUUGAUCAUGAAAUAUAAAAUAUAGCUGAUUGCUGAACUAAACUAACUGGGUAUCUCUGCCUUAUACCCUCCUUCUCUGAGGAAAAACUCCAAAAAAAAAAAAAA